AUUGAACGCUGGCGGCAGGCUUAACACAUGCAAGUCGAGCGGAGCGGCGGACGGGUGAGUAAUGUAUAGCUAAUCUGCCCUACACUAGAGGACAACAGUUGGAAACGACUGCUAAUACUCUAUAGUGUAGGAUGAGGCUAUAUUGUAUCAGCUAGUUGGUGAGGUAAUGGCUCACCAAGGCUAUGACGCUUAACUGGUCUGAGAGGAUGAUCAGCCGAACUGGAACUGAGGCACGGUCCGGACACCUACGAGAGGGGGCCGUAGGGAAUAUUACUCAAUGGGGGAAACCCUGAAGCAGCAACGCCGCGUAGAGGAUGACACUUUUCGGAGCGUAAACUCCUUUUGUUAGGGAAGCGGUACCUAACGAAUAAGCACCGGCUAACUCCGUGCCAGCAGCCGCGGUAAUAC
rnacentral:rRNA from 1 species